GGGGUUACAACCUUACCAGCUGUGGGCAGGAGUGCAUUGAAUUGUUUGCACCAUGUAGUCGUUGCAGUUCAGAGUGAGUGCAGAGCAGCUCACAUUAUAGAUUCUGUCCCUUGUUUUAUGAGUUCUGACUGCUUUACAGUGCUUACUGUCUGUGGUGUGUUUUGCGCGAGAAGUUUGGAGCACAUGGUGACCAGGUAACCUGCGGUUUCACUGCAAGGUGUUCACCACAGAAGCCUUGCACAUGAGCAACCAGAAUUGAACACCUGGCACACGAAGACGGCAGUGUCAGCAGUUUCUCAGCAGUCAAGAGAGAGUAUAAAUUUAAGCAAUCAUUACAGAUCGGACACAUAGAAAAUUCGGUAGAUGGCUUUGAAUGUGUACACUGGGUUUUUAACCACGUGUUGUUUCGCCACGGUUAAUUUUAAAGAUACACCAGCAUUUGUGGAGGCACAGGCUCAGUCAAGGCAUAGAGGAAGCAGUGUAAAGAGAUUCCACAGGCAUUGUAAUUCUUCACAGGAAAAUCGAAAAAAAUACAGCUAAAUACUGGUGAACAAGGUGGUCAGGCAAGAAAGGACAAUCUAUCCAUGCAAUAAAGAAAUGAGGGGAUCAGAUCCCAAAAACUGCAAAGACAUGUUUUCUUUAAAACUACAUGUUUCAGCAUCUUUAAUACCUAACCUACGCUGUAUUAAAAACAAUGUGGCUGAAAAUUCACUCCAAGUACCCGAAAAAAAGCCAUUUUGUCAGUGUUGGCAGCGAGAGUGGAGCUCAAAAUUGGGCAAAAAAUACCAGAGUUCACGUUCCACGUGCGAGCACCGUAUUGUCUGCUAUCAUCAUCUUAGCGUGGCAUGUCGCUUUUCUCAAGGCUUGGUUUUGAUUGUUAUUAUGUGAUUAUGAAUCAGCAACAAUCAUUCAAAAAAAAAAAGUACCAUAUUUACUUGAAUCUAACAAGCACUUUUUUCGCUAUAAAACGGGUCCAAAAAUUGCGUGCACGUUAGAAUCGAGUACGACCCUAAAUCUGUGUUACCAUAUCGCUAUUGGCAUUUCAAAAUGGCUGCCUCAUAAGCGCUUCGAGCCUAGCUGCCGUAGCUUCCUCCAUGUGCUGUAGUAGGUGUGCUUAGGUUUUUCCACCGUCCGUCUUCCUGUUUUCUGCAUCUGUUCUAUCAGCAUAGAAGUGCCGACUGUGAAUACAUGCCGAGUGUUCAUCACGAUGCCACAAUUAAAAGGAAAGUGAUCACCUGUGUGGAGAUGGGCAGAAAUCAUCAUGGAUGUUUGGAGUUCCCAAAACUUGCGUGCGGGACUGGUGCAAACAGGAGAGGCGUUCUCCUCCGGCAGCUGCUGCAAAGGCACGGCCGUGUGGCCCCUAUCUUGAAAGCAAUCUUCUGCGACGGAGACAGAGUCCAUGUAUCUAGGCGCACCGAGCUGCGUACUUGUCACUUCGUUCACGUCGAAGCGAGAGGCCACACAAAGGUCAAUUCGCUCGCUCCUGCUACCGUACUUUCUCGCCCCAGUGUUCUGAUAAAAAGUCUCGAUGGUCAUUGAGUGAGACCUGUUCAUGUUUGCUUGUGCGCGCUUGACACCAUGCUUGUUAAUUUAGUAAACGAAUGUUUAAAAGUUUAAAUAGCUGAUAAAGCUACUAUCCUUAUUUUUCGUAUCUCUGUCUACUAAUUUGUCAUCACAAUCAGUGCUUUGCCUUUUGGGUGAAACUGCGACAUUUAUUAUUUAUCGCAACUUUAGUGCAAUGGGAGUAAACCUUCGUUUUUUCAAAUCAGAAAAGGUCAUUACAGUCGAACCCACUUGUAACAAUAUUCGAAUGCCACGAAAAUUCCAUUGUUAUGACCGAUAAUUGUUAUAACCGGGUUGCAUGAAGAAAAAAUCAAAACAGGGGGAUGGCAGAGCUGAUCUGAGAAAACUAUAAUGGCGGGAGGCCAGUGCCUCUCCCCACCACCUUCCUCCAUCCGGCUGCCGAUUGUGUUCCCUCGUUUAACUGCUUCCUGGGCGCUUCGAUCGCGUGUAACAAGCUGCGGCUGUCGGCAUUAAAGAAUGACACUGCUAUAACAACUGCAAAGAGGUGUCACGGGUGGCAAGCAAUACGCGAGUACCGCCGAGGCAUCACUUUGGUGGCUCCCAAAAGGGGCCUUUUAAAAAUUGCGAGAACGCUGCCGUGACAGCCUGUCAGCUUGAGAAAUCCGGAAGAAAUGCUGAGGAGAGAUCGCCACAAGCGUCUCGACACAUACGUUGCACUGCAUUGCACGAGAAAACCCUACGUCCGUCAGCCUUGCCGACAUCCUUCUCCAAGGUAUCCAGGCGCUCCACGUAGUGCAGCGGAAGGUUCCUUGCAAAAACGAAGCCCCGGAGGGACUGAGUCAUCUGCCGGGCCUCCUGUGAGGAGAACGUUGAGACAGCCUGCCCUACCGCAUCAUCGCUGCCGUCGUCACCGCCACUAUCCAAUGCAAGCACGUUCGCGACGAUCGCCUCAUCGGUUAGAAGCAUUUAAUUUCCGAAUCUGUAACCGUGCGCUUUUUUUUCACCGGCAACGUCGUGCAUUGCCGAUUAUCAGCGGGCGGGUUGGUCAUCUUCCGUUUUGGCAGCGAGUCAGAAGAGGCUGAGAAGCCACGUGGCCAAGAACGAUUUUGACGCAACCAACAAAGACGAACACAGGCGAUUACGCUGUUUGCAGAACUGCACUGAGUGAGGAGCCAGCAAGCAAGAUGCAAGCAGUGCAGUUGGUGCAGUCCAUUCGUGUUUUGGAGGGUGGCGCGGUGUAGAGAUAUGGGUGCAGCUCAUCCGUGUUCGGAGGAGUGGAAGGGCGACGGGAGGGAGGCGCGUAGCGGUUGUUUGAGCAGCGGGCCAUCGUGCAGUGGCUUGAAUUUCUCGUUUUCUUUUUUUCUUUUCAAGGAUUUCGCAUUUCACUAGCUUUCGGCUCGGACACCGAGCAGCCAGACUCCAUCAUUACAACCGAUAAUGCGUCGUCGGGGCAUUGCAGUAAGUGGGUUAUUUCACUAUGCAAAACAUACAAAAGUUGACGGUGCAGCAGCUGCUCAUUGUUAUAACCGAUAUAUAGUUAAAACCGGUGUCGUUAUAAGUGGGUUCGACUGUAUUUCUGUAUGAAGAGUAGAGGUGUGCGGUACUGUAAAGGACUUUUCUUUUGGAAGGUCAUGGCAAAGGGGUGUGUGUCACAAUCCAAUGCGUUCUCUUUUUCUUUUUUCUUUUUUUGUCGCAGAAAACGGGUGAGCGUUACAAUCCAGGGUGCAUUAGAAUCGAGCAAAUAACGUAUACAACAAUUCAUUUCUCCAGCCGAAAACUAAACUGUCCACACCCUUGAAUAUGUAAGGAAAAGCUGUCUACAGCCACUUGUGACAGUGACUUUGUUGUGCGUGACCACCUCAAGAUAGGCAGUCCAAAUCCUGUGCCCUGUGGCUUGCCUGGUUGAGCACGGGACGAAGUGCUGACUGUGAGAGCCGACGGCAUUUGCAACAUGCCAUCAAAUUCCGUUCUGCUGACGUCCCACCUAGUGCCGCAGCAACAUGGACUGUUCGAAUGCCGUGCCUGGGGCUUCGCGUCACCGAACUCCAGGCACAGCGCUGCCUGCGACUGCCGACCACUUUCGCCAUGUUCAAAGUUCCAUUUUUCCUAGGUCCCACCAGUGAGGUGCAAGGUGAAAAUGCUGCCUCUACGUGUACUGUGUUAGGUAUGGCCGGACGCCAAGGGCCAUACGUCAUCCCCUCCCCCUCUACUUGGUCGGGCACCGUGGGUGCUACGUCAUCCCCUUCCCCUCUACUUGGUCGGGCACCGUGAGGGGAUACGUCAUCCCCUUACCCUCUCUUGGCCGGACCCCACGGCGCCGGAGAGGUCAUUCACCCGACCCUCUCCCUGGAUUCGUCGAAAUGAGGAUCGACUUCUUCCCGUGCUCGGUAUUGCCGGAGGAGGGGCCUUCUCUCUGUGCCUGUCACGUGUCAUCGACGGAAGCAAGAUCCCGCCCACACGAUUGUAGAGAGCCUAUUUAAAGGGCUCUGAAAUGUACUUUUGAUAUACUUCAUAUUUCAUUCUCUUCUUAUUUUCUUUCAACUACCUUUGAAUAAACAGUGCAAGUUUCGCACUAGCAAAUCGUCAUCUCGCCCUUGCUCGGUUGCCAUGGUCUACCGGAUGCCUGCAGCUCGCCAACAAUGCCAUGCUACCCAAUAAGGACAGGUCGGUCGAGCUUCGUAAGGCAAGCGCCGCUACUUCUCGGCAGCAGUACGGUACGCUACCCUGGAGUACGCAAGAAACUGGUUGCUAACGGUGAGAUCACCCCUGAGGUGCAACAAACUAGUUGCUAAAGGUGGAAUCGCCCCUGAGGUGCAACAAACUGGCUGGCAGCGAUUGGGAUACGGAAUCCUGGAGACCCCAACUUGGACGACAACUAUGAGAUCGUAGCCUCUUCGUCCUGGCAACAACGUUCGGAAAGAAGGUGUCUGGAUCAUGACUGCAUAUGGAGACGGAGACCUGCUUGCAAGAUCAAUUUCACCGGACCGGACCAAGGAGAAAAGUCACAAGAGUGCCACGAGGACGGAUGACCACUCCCCGGAAUCUACUUGCUACGAACGAAGGCUUCGUGACCUCUACGGGGAAUGCUGGUACCGAAACGCCGAUCCCUCGUACAGCGGCUGCUGGCCCCUACACGUCGGGAUCUUCCUCCCCCGCCGGAAAGUCUGUUAGGUAUGGCCGGACGCCAAGGGCCAUACGUCAUCCCCCUUCCCCUCUACUUGGUCGGGCACCGUGGGGGGAUACAUCAUCCCCUUACCCUCUCUUGGCCGGACCCCACGGCGCCGGAGAGGUCAUUCACCCGACCCUCUCCCUGGAUUCGUCGAAAAGAGGAUCGACUUCUUCCCGUGCUCGGUAUUGCCGGAGGAGGGGCCUUCUCUCUGUGCCUGUCACGUGUCAUCGACGGAAGCAAGAUCCCGCCCACAUGAUUGUAGAGAGCCUAUUUAAGGGGCUCCAAAAUGUACUUUUGGUAUACUUCAUACUUCAUUCUCUUCUUAUUUUCUUUCAACUACCUUUGAAUAAACAGUGCAAGUUUCACACUAGCAAA